rnacentral:rRNA from 1 species
GACGAACGCUGGCGGCGUGCUUAACACAUGCAAGUCGAGCGGAGCGGCGAACGGGUGAGUAACGCGUGAGUAACUGCCCCCCCCUCUGGGAUAACAGUUGGGAACGGGUGCUAAUACCGGAUAGUAGGGGAUGACUUGGGUCCUAUCAGCUUGUUGGUGGGGUAGUGGCCUACCAAGGGGACGACGGGUAGCCGGCCUGGGAGGGGAACCGGCCACAAUGGGCUACGGUACGGACCAAAGUCCAACGGGGGGCAGCGGUGGGGAAUAUUGCACAGUGGGGGAAACCCUGAUGCAGCAACGCCGCGUGCGGAAUGACGGCCUUCGGGUUGUAAACCGCUUUCAGCCAUGACCCGGUAGUGGCAGAAGAAGCACCGGCUAACUACGUGCCAGCAGCCGCGGUAAUAC